rnacentral:rRNA from 1 species
GACGAACGCUGGCGGCGUGCUUAACACAUGCAAGUCGAACGGAAAGGCCCUGCUUUUGUGGGGUGCUCGAGUGGCGAACGGGUGAGUAACACGUGAGUAACCUGCCCUUGACUUUGGGAUAACUUCAGGAAACUGGGGCUAAUACCGGAUAGGAGCUCCUGCUGCAUGGUGGGGGUUGGAAAGUUUCGGCGGUUGGGGAUGGACUCGCGGCUUAUCAGCUUGUUGGUGGGGUAGUGGCUUACCAAGGCUUUGACGGGUAGCCGGCCUGAGAGGGUGACCGGCCACAUUGGGACUGAGAUACGGCCCAGACUCAUAAGGGAGGAAGCAGUGGGGAAUAUUGCACAAUGGGCGGAAGCCUGAUGCAGCAACGCCGCGUGCGGGAUGACGGCCUUCGGGUUGUAAACCGCUUUCGCCUGUGACGAAGCGUGAGUGACGGUAAUGGGUAAAGAAGCACCGGCUAACUACGUG